rnacentral:rRNA from 1 species
GACGAACGCUGGCGGCGUGCUUAACACAUGCAAGUCGAACGGAAAGGCCCUGCUUUUGUGGGGUGCUCGAGUGGCGAACGGGUGAGUAACACGUGAGUAACCUGCCCUUGACUUUGGGAUAACUUCAGGAAACUGGGGCUAAUACCGGAUAGGAGCUCCUGCUGCAUGGUGGGGGUUGGAAAGUUUCGGCGGUUGGGGAUGGACUCGCGGCUUAUCAGCUUGUUGGUGGGGUAGUGGCUUACCAAGGCUUUGACGGGUAGCCGGCCUGAGAGGGUGACCGGCCACAUUGGGACUGAGAUACGGCCCAGACUCCUACGGGAGGCAGCACUGGGGAAUAUUGCACAAUGGGCGGAAGCCUGAUGCAGCAACGCCGCGUGCGGGAUGACGGCCUUCGGGUUGUAUUCCGCUUUCGCCUGUGCCGAAGCGUGAGUGACGGUAAUGGGUAAAGAAGCACCGGCUAACUACGUG